UGUCCUACGGGUGGCUGCAGUGGGGAAUAUUGCACAAUGGGCGCAAGCCUGAUGCAGCGACGCCGCGUGAGGGAUGACGGCCUUCGGGUUGUAAACCUCUUUCACCAGGGACGAAGCGCAAGUGACGGUACCUGGAGAAGAAGCACCGGCCAACUACGUGCCAGCAGCCGCGGUAAUACGUAGGGUGCGAGCGUUGUCCGGAAUUACUGGGCGUAAAGAGCUCGUAGGUGGUUUGUCGCGUUGUUCGUGAAAACUCACAACUCAAUUGUGGGCGUGCGGGCGAUACGGGCAGACUAGAGUACUGCAGGGGAGACUGGAAUUCCUGGUGUAGCGGUGGAAUGCGCAGAUAUCAGGAGGAACACCGGUGGCGAAGGCGGGUCUCUGGGCAGUAACUGACGCUGAGGAGCGAAAGCGUGGGGAGCGAACAGGAUUAGAUACCCCUGUAGUC
rnacentral:rRNA from 1 species